ACUCCAAUAACGAGUUACAGAAUCGCGGUACUGUUGGGUAACCCGACAGUUUCCCGAAAAAUGGCAGAGAAAAGCUUCCCUGCUAUCCAAGUUCUUGCAGAAUAUUAUUAGUUGGAGGCCACUUUCCUGUGAAGUAAGAUUACCAAAGUCUGAGGUUACUGUGUCCUUGAAUGCGUCCCAGAAAGCAAAAGUUGAAUCACAUCCUAAUAUCAAAUAUCAGAGUAAGAUGUGUUACUAGCAGUGUGAUGACAGAUUAAUGCAUCAAACUAAUAAUAGGAAACAGGAUGUUUUGCCUAUGUUUGCCUCUGCAAGUAAGGUUAUUGUGAUUUACGGUUGUUCACGCGGUCGCGUUCUCCGCUCAGAAGUUGACCGCUAUGCAGAGAUUCCGGUAUUGCUCAGCGCUGAGCAACGAGGUCGAUGGACCGAUGGGGAUAGGACACCAAGGCAGGGAGACGGUCCCGAGAUCCACCAAAAAAGACGGUGUUGGUCAAAAUCCGUUUCAACGGUUUAAUUCUCAACAAAACUUUAAGCCCGUUCGAACCGGGUGACCGCGGAUAUUACAACAAAAACAAAAAAAAACGAUGACAAUAAACGGAUGAAUUCCGGCACGGAAUUCAAGACCGGCGCGACAACUUCGCUAUGUUGCGAUCGGCGCACGAAAACCUGACCAGCAGAGUCAGGCGUCGAGAUAAACGCACAAGAUAGGCUCGAUUGCCGGUUAGCAGCACACACACCGAAUCCUCGCGCGAUGAGUCAUUAUAUUCACGGCGUGAUCUCAGCUGUCGAACCUUCGAGAAACAGGCAAAUAUGUCGUAACGAGACCUAGAUAAACAUAACUCAAAGUAUACAGAUACACCGAGCUGGAUCGACAGCUAUUGUUCGUCUGUUUAUAUUUGGUUGGAAUUGAUUGCUGUGACACGAUUUCAAUAAACGGCCACAGUAACCGACAUCCGAGAAUACCUGGCCAAGGAGCAAGUCUUCGGUCGAAAUUUUCAGACUGAACGUCUGGCGGACAUCGAGCUCUUGAACAACGGUCAAGAAUGAUGAACUUUUCCCCAAAAAUUGAGGAUUGGUCCUUAAAGAAGACAACUACAGUAAAAUGAAAAAUAAAAAUCAUAUAAAUGGAAGAUGCAAGAGUCACGAGAAAUCAAGGAUCACAAAGAAAGUAGAAAGAAGAAUUUGUAACGGCCGAACUCCG